rnacentral:lncRNA from 1 species
GGUGGGCCUCGAGGAGCCCUGGAAAAGGGUGGAGCUGGAUGGAGGCUGGCACCAGGAGCAGUUUUGUGAUUUCCAGUCACUAGCAUUUGCUAACAGCAACGGAAACCAGUACAAGCUCAGCACCAUGGGCAAUACAGACAGACAGAGCCUAACACAACGACCUCCCAGAUGUAUCCAGAGGUGCAGGAGGAGAGGCUGAGGGAGGGCAACACUGUCUGACUGGUGACGGUGCCUGCAGUACACAGGCCACAGAGAGAAAAGGCCAAGGUGACCAAGAGGAAGAGCAUUUGAAGCCUGCUCCGUUUCAUCCUUGACCUUGUUUCUGUUUCUUCCUGGUCUGUGCUCCUAGGCAGUCGGGGGAGGGGGAGGGACAUGUGGGCUGGUAGGGAGGACACACUGGCUUUGGGGUCUCUGGGCUCAUCUUGUGGCAGAAUUUUUUUGAUGAUUCAAAUGGCUUUAGGGACCCUGGGAUGGAUGGCGCAGGGAGGGAUAUGUUGGUGUGAGUCACCAAGGGUAUGUCUCCUCCCAUGUGAACUUUCCCAGCUGGAACAUCCAAUUUCAGGUGGGGUCAAAGAGGGUUUAGGUUUAAAGAUGGGUGUCUGUCUGUGCCCUUGCUACUCUAUUUCAUGGUGAUUUGAUUCAAAGAUGUUUACAGGACACACACACACACAUGCACACACACCACGAGGAAAGUUUGAUUACUGGUGGGUAACACAAGCACAGUCCUGCUGCUGUGGUUCAGCCUUCAAUGCUGUCAAUCCAAGAGAAACUUUCCCAACUACCCAGCCCACCCAUGACCACUCAGGCUCAGUGCCAUGCCUCUAUAACCUGAACACAGGCACAGAAGGCCAUCCCAUAUGUCCCCUCCCACCUGGGUCUCCCAGCACAGCUGCUGUGGUACGAGCAGAAGAUGGCUGAUGUACCCCAAGGUGAGAAAUGGAAACCUGGUUAAGUAUUCCCUACUGCUUGGGGACCCUCUCCAAAGAGGUGGUUUGGUUAGUACUCAGUGCUGUGUGCUCCCAGGUCCUUCCUGUGCAGCCAGGCAGGCCAAGGGUCCUGACAGGGAACACCAUCUUUGGAGCCCACCUGCCGGUUCCUGGGACCCUGCCAGGGAAGGCCACUGGGUAGUCACUUGCAGAGUUUCUUGUUGUCGUUGCACAAUGGCCACAUCAUCCUUGGGUAUUAAAAGGACACUGUCA